AAAAAGAAAAAACCCGAGAGAGGAGGGAGGACGCAGAGAGAAAAAAAAAAAAACAGAGAGAGCUAGCAUAGAAAAACAAAGAGAACAAGAGGGAAAAAUCAGUUCUAGUCUAUCUUGCAUUUGUCGAAAAAGAGUUCACCAAACCUCCGGGUUUUGCAAAAACUCUUAACGGCAAAAAGAGGAAGGCUUCCUUUGGUUUCAGAGGCAGAAAAGCAAAGGUUUUCACCUGCCUACACCUCAUUUUCUGCAUCUGAACUAGCAGCAUCAGCAGGUGCUAGAAAGCAGAAGCUCUGUCCAUCAGCUCGUAAGUCAUCUUUGGCAUUCAGAACAAGCAGGGAUCUGCAGGUAUAAGUCUUACUCUCUCUUUCCCUGCAGUAUUUAAAAGCUAGUGUCUGAUGAGUGAUGACUGUUCUCUAAAAAACCGGUUUCUGUUUUCGUUUGGGACAUUUUGUUUUCUCUAUUUUUUUUUUACAGCAAAGUUGUGUUGCUUGUCCAUUGUUUUUGUCUUCCAUGGUCUAAAGUUUAGAAGGUUUGUGUAUUCUUUGUUUUUUUUACUUCUCGUUGGUAGGAACCAUGAGCGUCAUAGGUCUUCAUCAUCCCUGCAUUCCUUGUUCGGCUGUCUUUGUUGUCUUAGAAUUCUGCAUAGGAGGGUUUUCAUCUAAACAUAACUUCAUCCAGAGGAGAACAUAAAAAGCGCGAGGGUAUCUCCUUUGCAGGGUUUAGUCUUUUUGGGUAGACAUCUGUGGUUUGUUCGGUUUCCAAACCGUUUCUUCCCUAUGAAUAUUUGGUUUUUGUUUAGACAAAGCUAUAUGCUUGCUUACUAUCCUGUCAUGACGCUAAGUUCAGCUUACCGUUUAUGUAAAAGCCUAAAAGGUGUGUAUCUUUCCUCAUUCUCAUGCUGCGAGUAAACCACAAGCUUUAGGGACCCUCACGUUAUUUUACGCCCACUGGAGGAAAGUUUAGCCAGCCAUGAUUUUUUAUCUUUUCCUUUUGUUUGUGAUAUACAUAACUAAAGCAUGCUUCCCAGUUUUAUUUUUUCGUUUCUGUUUGCGUAAGGCAGGUCCCAAGUUUAGGAAAGGAGUAAAGGGGUGUGAGUCACAGUUCCUGCUAUAACUUCAGUUUCAGAGCUUUUUUUUUUUCUCGCGCAUACAUACUUGUGCCUAAUUUUAGAGAAUGAUGGGUGAAGCCUGUUCAGGCUUCGAGUUUAAAUUGGUGUGUCCAAUCUUGUUUAUUUGAGAUGAACUUAUGAAUUUUGGAAUAGACAGGUAUGUUUUGGUGUUAUUAAUUAUGAUGUUUGUGUUUAAUCGUGUUGUUCGUGUUUUUGAUAAAAUAUAAAAAUGUUUUCUUGCGUGUUGUAUACGACCAAUGUCCU
rnacentral:lncRNA from 1 species